GGUUAAUAUUCCUUUACUAUUCAAGUAUGCGUGGCGACACAAGCUUCAUUCCCGACAUUUCCGAUUAAGCUAACACAAAUCUUCGUUUGUGUCAACCGGAAUGAAUCAGAGGAGUAUUAUAAUAAUGAGAAUCUGAUUAAAUCUGGGAUGAGUAUCCUCAUGGGAUAUUUAGCUGAUAUCCGGAAUCCGUGAAAAGGGAAUAGAGAAAGAACUUGAAUAUUCGUACCAAGAACCAGCACAGGUGCCCCAAGGUGAGAAGCCUAAAGUGUGAAGGAUUAAUCUAAUUGAGGGAAUUCGGCAAAUUAGCCCCGUACCUUCGGUAUAAGGGGUGCCUGCUAUUUUUGCGAGAAGCAGGGAUAGCAGGUCGCAGUGACAAGGGGGUCCCGACUGUUUAAUAAAAACACAGGAAGCUGCUAGCCCGAAAGGGUGUGUAUAGCUUUUGAAUCCUGGCCAGCAACGGUACCUAAAACCUGGGUUCAACUGGGCUAAGGGCCGUUUAGCGCCGGGGGUAACUCUGACCCUCUUAAGGUAGCCAAAUGCCUUGUCGGGUAAGUUCCGACGUGCAUGAAUGGAACAACGAGGGCCCUACUGUCCCCGUCUACUACCCGGCGAACCCACGUAACGUGGACGAACAGUCCACGAACUUCUAUCGGGAAGAGAAGACCCUGUGGAGCUUUACUGCAGCUUGUUGUUGUGAUACGACUAUGAUUGCAGAGUGUAGCUGGGAGCUGUUAUGCACAUACUUUUGGGUAUGUGAUAGGCGAAAGUGUAACACCAGCCUCUCAUAGUUUUACCGCUAACCGGGAGACCGGGACACCGGCAGGUGGGCAGUUUGGCUGGGGCGGCACCCCCUUGAAAAAAUAUCGAGGGGGCCCAAAGGUCGGCUCAGGUGGGACAGAAAUCCACCGUAGAGGGCAAGGCUAAAAGCCGGCCUGACUGGGUUCUCAAAAGCACAGAACCCAGGAGCGAAAGCUUGGCCUAGCGAUCCUCCAGGUCCCCACUGUUGGGGGCUGAAGGUGACAGAAAAGUUACCCCAGGGAUAACAGGCUUGUCGCGGGUGAGAGCUCAAAUCGACCCCGCGGAUUGGUACCUCGAUGUCGGCUCUUCCCAUCCUGGUCCUGCAGCAGGGGCCAAGGGUGGGGCUGCUCGCCCAUCAAAGGGGAACGUGAGCUGGGUUUAGACCGUCGUGAGACAGGUCGGCCUCUAUCUGAUAGAAGCGAUGGCCGUCUGAGGGGAAGUUGUCCUCAGUACGAGAGGAACAGGGCAACGUAGCCUCUGGCGUACCGGUUGUCUGAUAAGGCAGUUGCCGGGCAGCUAAGCUAUUGAGGAUAAGAGCUGAAAGCAUCUAAGCUCGAAGCCUCUCCUGAGAAUAGACCGCCUUCCACAUUUCUACUUCUUUCGGGAAGUAGGUGUGGACAAGAGCUGGGAAAGAAGAUCCCGUUGAUGGGGCAGAGGUGUAAUCUGAAAGGCUUCGGCCGAUCAGUUCAGCCUGCUGCUCCCAAUCGCUCAAGGUGUCAGA
rnacentral:rRNA from 1 species